GCGGAUGUGGUGGAAUUGGUAGACACGCUAGAUUCAGAUUCUAGUGCUCGCAAGGGCGUGGAGGUUCAAGUCCUCUCAUCCGCA
rnacentral:tRNA from 1 species